rnacentral:rRNA from 1 species
GGGGGGAGCAAGCGUUGUUCGGAUUUACUGGGCGUAAAGGGCGCGUAGGCGGCCACCGCAAGUCAGUUGUGAAAUCUCUGGGCUUAACCCAGAAAGGUCAACUGAUACUGCGGGGCUAGAGUGCAGAAGGGGCAACUGGAAUUCUCGGUGUAGCGGUGAAAUGCGUAGAUAUCGAGAGGAACACCUGCGGCGAAGGCGGGUUGCUGGGCUGACACUGACGCUGAUGCGCGAAAGCUAGGGGAGCGAACGGGAUUAGAUACCCCGGUAGUCCUAGCCUUAAACGAUGAAUGCUUGGUGUCUGGGGUUUUAUAGUCCCCGGGUGCCGUCGCUAACGCUUUAAGCAUUCCGCCUGGGGAGUACGGUCGCAAGACUG